rnacentral:rRNA from 1 species
CGAAAUUCCUUGUCGGGUAAGUUCCGACCCGCACGAAUGGUGUAACGAUUCUGGGCGCUGUCUCAACGCGGGACUCGGUGAAACUUAUAUUCCGGUAAAGAAGCCGGAUACCCGUAAUUAGACGGAAAGACCCCGUGAACCUUCACCGCAGCUUAUCACUGGGAUUCUAUCCGCCAUGUGUAGGAUAGCCGGGAGGCUAUGAAGCGUGCGCGUUAGCGUGCGUGGAGCCGUUGGUGAAAUACCGGCCCUGGCGGAUGGGAUUUCUAACUCCGGUCCGUGAAGCCGGAUGGGGGACAGUGAUUGGCGGGCGGUUUGACUGGGGCGGUCGCCUCCUAAAGGGUAACGGAGGCGCGCGAAGGUCUCCUCGCGGUGGUUGGAAAUCAUCGUACGAGUGUAAAGGCACAAGGAGGCUUGACUGCGAGUGAGACAUCACGAGCAGGUGCGAAAGCAGGUCUUAGUGAUCUGGCGGUUGCAAGUGGAAGCGCCGUCACUUAACGGACAAAAGGUACUCCGGGGAUAACAGGCUGAUUUUCCCCAAGAGUUCACAUCGACGGGAAAGUUUGGCACCUCGAUGUCGGCUCAUCGCAUCCUGGGGCUGAAGUAGGUCCCAAGGGUUUGGCUGUUCGCCAAUUAAAGCGGUACGUGAGCUGGGUUCAGAACGUCGCGAGACAGUUCGGUCCCUAUCUGUUACGGGCGGAGGAUGUUUGAGAGGGGCUGCUUUUAGUACGAGAGGACCGAAGUGGACGAACCUCUGGUGUACCAGUUAUCCUGCCAAGGGUAAGUGCUGGGUAGCUAUCGUUCGGAAGGGAUAACCGCUGAAGGCAUCUAAGCGGGAAGCCCACCUCAAGAUUACAUAUCCCUCGGGGUUUAACCCCGCUAAAGACUCCUUGCACACUACAAGGUUGAUAGGUUGCAGGUCUAAGCACAGUAAUGUGUUCUAGCCGAGCAAUACUAAUAAGUCGUGAGGCUUGACCAU